rnacentral:misc_RNA from 1 species
AAUGCCCUCUGACUUCGGUCAGCUGGGUUCAAUGUGUGUCAACUCUUCGGAGUUGGCCAUCCACACACACCGUGAACUGUGGCUUCGGCCAUCACAAACUAUUAGUAAUGAAUGUAAAAUCAUAACAAAAUAAAACUUUUAACAACGGAUCUCUUGGCUCU